GAUGAACGCUGGCGGCGUGCCUAAUACAUGCAAGUCGAGCGAACAGACGAGGAGCUUGCUCCUCUGACGUUAGCUGCGGACGGGUGAGUAACACGUGGAUAACCUACCUAUAAGACUGGGAUAACUUCGGGAAACCGGAGCUAAUACCGGAUAAUAUAUUGAACCGCAUGGUUCAAUAGUGAAAGACGGUUUUGCUGUCACUUAUAGAUGGAUCCGCGCCGCAUUAGCUAGUUGGUAAGGUAACGGCUUACCAAGGCAACGAUGCGUAGCCGACCUGAGAGGGUGAUCGGCCACACUGGAACUGAGACACGGUCCAGACUCCUACGGGAGGCAGCAGUAGGGAAUCUUCCGCAAUGGGCGAAAGCUUGACGGAGCAACGCCGCGUGAGUGAUGAAGGUCUUCGGAUCGUAAAACUCUGUUAUUAGGGAAGAACAAAUGUGUAAGUAACUAUGCACGUCUUGACGGUACCUAAUCAGAAAGCCACGGCUAACUACGUG
rnacentral:rRNA from 1 species